rnacentral:rRNA from 1 species
GACGAACGCUGGCGGCGUGCUUAACACAUGCAAGUCGAACGGAAAGGCCCUGCUUUUGUGGGGUGCUCGAGUGGCGAACGGGUGAGUAACACGUGAGUAACCUGCCCUUGACUUUGGGAUAACUUCAGGAAACUGGGGCUAAUACCGGAUAGGAGCUCCUGCUGCAUGGUGGGGGUUGGAAAGUUUCGGCGGUUGGGGAUGGACUCGCGGCUUAUCAGCUUGUUGGUGGGGUAGUGGCUUACCAAGGCUUUGACGGGUAGCCGGCCUGAGAGGGUGACCGGCCACAUGGGGACUGAGAUACGGCCCAGACUCCGACGGGAGGCAGCAGUGGGGAGUGUGGCACGAGGGGCGGAGGCCUGAUGCAGCAACGCCGCGUGAGGGAAGCCGGGGUUCGUGUUGGAAACCGCUUUCGCCUGUGACGAAGAGUGAGUGACGGUAAUGGGUAAAGAAGCACCGGCUAACUACGUG